UUUGAUGUGAUCGGAAUUUAGGGUUAGGA
rnacentral:sRNA from 1 species